rnacentral:rRNA from 1 species
CCUACGGGGCGCAGCAGUGGGGAAUAUUGGACAAUGGGCGAAAGCCUGAUCCAGCCAUGCCGCGUGUGUGAAGAAGGCCUUCGGGUUGUAAAGCACUUUCAGUGGGGAAGAAAGCCUUGGGGCUAAUACCCUCGAGGAAGGACAUCACCCACAGAAGAAGCACCGGCUAACUCCGUGCCAGCAGCCGCGGUAAUACGGAGGGUGGCGAGCGUUAAUCGGAAUUACUGGGCGUAAAGCGCGCGUAGGCGGUCUGAUAAGCCGGUUGUGAAAGCCCCGGGCUCAACCUGGGAACGGCAUCCGGAACUGUCAGGCUAGAGUGCAGGAGAGGAAGGUAGAAUUCCCGGUGUAGCGGUGAAAUGCGUAGAGAUCGGGAGGAAUACCAGUGGCGAAGGCGGCCUUCUGGACUGACACUGACGCUGAGGUGCGAAAGCGUGGGUAGCAAACAGGAUUAGAUACCCUAGUAGUC